rnacentral:rRNA from 1 species
AACGAACGCUGGCGGCAGGCCUAAUACAUGCAAGUCGAACGGGCGUAGCAAUACGUCAGUGGCGGACGGGUGAGUAACACGUGGGAACAUGCCUUUCGGUUCGGAAUAACGCAGGGAAACUUGCGCUAAUACCGGAUGACCCGGCGACGGAAAAGAUUUAUCGCCGAAAGAUUGGCCCGCGUAGGAUUAGCUAGUUGGUGAGGUAACGGCCCACCAAGGCGACGAUCCUUAGCUGGUUUGAGAGAACGAUCAGCCACACUGGGACUGAGACACGGCCCAGACUCCUACGGGAGGCAGCAGUAGGGAAUCUUGGACAAU